rnacentral:rRNA from 1 species
GAUGAACGCUGGCGGCGUGCCUAAUACAUGCAAGUCGAGCGAACAGACGAGGAGCUUGCUCCUCUGACGUUAGCGGCGGACGGGUGAGUAACACGUGGAUAACCUACCUAUAAGACUGGGAUAACUUCGGGAAACCGGAGCUAAUACCGGAUAAUAUAUUGAACCGCAUGGUUCAAUAGUGAAAGACGGUUUUGCUGUCACUUAUAGAUGGAUCCGCGCCGCAUUAGCUAGUUGGUAAGGUAACGGCUUACCAAGGCAACGAUGCGUAACCGACCUGAGAGGGUGAUCGGCCACACUGGAACUGAGACACGGUCCAGACUCCUACGGGAGGCAGCAGUAGGGAAUCUUCCGCAAUGGGCGAAAGCCUGACGGAGCAACGCCGCGUGAGUUAUGAAGGUCUUCGGAUCGUAAAACUCUGUUAUUAGGGAAGAACAAAUGUGUAAGUAACUAUGCACGUCUUGACGGUACCUAAUCAGAAAGCCACGGCUAACUACGUG